rnacentral:tRNA from 1 species
GGUGGCUCAGUGGUAGAGCGCUUGCCUUGCAUGCACGAGGUCCUAGGUUCAAUUCCUCAGCACCA